GUGCCCAUCGAUUAGUGGUUAAAUCACCUCGUUGUGGCCGAAGAGCCAGGUGUUCGACUCAUCGUGGGCACA
rnacentral:tRNA from 1 species